rnacentral:rRNA from 1 species
CCUACGGGUGGAAGCAGUGAGGAAUAUUGGUCAAUGGACGAGAGUCUGAACCAGCCAAGUAGCGUGAAGGAUGACUGCCCUAUGGGUUGUAAACUUCUUUUAUAUGGGAAUAAAAUGUUCCACGUGUGGGAUUUUGUAUGUACCAUAUGAAUAAGGAUCGGCUAACUCCGUGCCAGCAGCCGCGGUAAUACGGAGGAUCCGAGCGUUAUCCGGAUUUAUUGGGUUUAAAGGGAGCGUAGGUGGAUUGUUAAGUCAGUUGUGAAAGUUUGCGGCUCAACCGUAAAAUUGCAGUUGAAACUGGCAGUCUUGAGUACAGUAGAGGUGGGCGGAAUUCGUGGUGUAGCGGUGAAAUGCUUAGAUAUCACGAAGAACUCCGAUUGCGAAGGCAGUUCACUGGACUGCAACUGACACUGAGGCUCGAAAGUGUGGGUAUCAAACAGGAUUAGAUACCCUUGUAGUC